GGAGGAAAAGAAACCAACAGGGAUUGCUUUAGUAACGGCGAGUGAAGCGGCAAAGCUCAAAUUUGAAAUCUGGCACUUGUGUCCGAGUUGUAAUUUGAAGAAGGUAACUUUGGGAUUGGUCCUUGCAUAUGUUCCUUGGAACAGGACGUCAUAGAGGGUGAGAAUCCCGUUCUGUGAGGUGGCCAGUCUCUUGUAAAGUGCUUUCGAAGAGUCGAGUUGUUUGGGAAUGCAGCUCUAAGUGGGUGGUAAAUUCCAUCUAAAGCUAAAUAUUGGCGAGAGACCGAUAGCGAACAAGUACAGUGAUGGAAAGAUGAAAAGAACUUUGAAAAGAGAGUGAAAAAGUACGUGAAAUUGUUGAAAGGGAAGGGCUUGAAAUCAGACUUGGUAUUCAGUGAUCAACUAUCUUUCGGGAUUGUGCACUCGCUGUUUACUGGGCCAGUAUCGGUUUUGACGGUGAGAUAAUGGCAUUGGAAUGUGGCUCCUCGGAGUGUUAUAGCCUUUGUUGAUAUCACCAGUCGGGACCGAGGACCGCGCUUUUAGCUAGGAUACUGGCGUAAUGAUUUUAAGCCACCCGUCUU
rnacentral:rRNA from 1 species